rnacentral:rRNA from 1 species
UACGGGGGGGGCAAGCGUUGUUCGGAAUUACUGGGCGUAAAGGGCUUGUAGGUGGCCAACUAAGUCAGACGUGAAAUCCCUCGGCUUAACCGGGGAACUGCAUCUGAUACUGGAUGGCUUGAGUUCGGGAGAGGGAUGCGGAAUUCCAGGUGUAGCGGUGAAAUGCGUAGAUAUCUGGAGGAACACCGGUGGCGAAGGCGGCAUCCUGGACCGACACUGACGCUGAGGAGCGAAAGCCAGGGGAGCAAACGGG